rnacentral:rRNA from 1 species
CCUACGGGAGGCAGCAGUGAGGAAUAUUGGUCAAUGGGCGAGAGCCUGAACCAGCCAAGUCGCGUGAGGGAGUACUGCCCUAUGGGUUGUAAACCUCUUUUGUCGGUGAGCAAAAGCCGGACGUGUCCGGCUGUGAGAGUACCCGAAGAAAAAGCAUCGGCUAACUCCGUGCCAGCAGCCGCGGUAUUACGGAGGAGGCGAGCGUUAUCCGGAUUUACUGGGUGUAAAGGGAGCGUAGGCGGCAAGGUAAGCCAGAAGUGAAAGCCCGCGGCUCAACUGCGGGACUGCUUUUGGAACUAUCUAGCUAGAUUGCAGGAGAGGUAAGUGGAAUUCCUAGUGUAGCGGUGAAAUGCGUAGAUAUUAGGAGGAACACCAGUGGCGAAGGCGGCUUACUGGACUGUAAAUGACGCUGAGGCUCGAAAGCGUGGGGAGCAAACAGGAUUAGAUACCCGGGUAGUC